rnacentral:misc_RNA from 1 species
GCAAACUUGGUCAUUUAGAGGAAGUAAAAGUCGUAACAAGGUUUCCGUAGGUGAACCUGCGGAAGGAUCAUUAUCAAAGAACAACUGGUUGGGUUGUUGCUGGCCUCCCUGGAGGCACUGUGCACACCUUGCCAAUCACUUUGCUCACCUGUGCACCUCCUUGUAGGCCAGGAUCACCAGAUAGAAAGAAGGGAGACUCCGCCAGGAUGCUCGACCCCCCCCCCCCCUUUUUUGUUUUUGGUGGAGGGAUCUGCCGUUGUCCUCGUGUAAUGUACGUGACUGACAGAGACGGCUUUUUCCUUGCUCACGUCUGGCCUAUGCCUUUAUUCUUAACCCUGUAACAUCUGUAUGUGUACUUGAACGUGUGGUGUAACCACAAUCGUUUUGAAUAUCAAUACAACUUUCAACAACGGAUCUCUUGGCUCUUGCAUCGAUGAAGAACGCAGC